GAUGAACGCUGGCGGCGUGCCUAAUACAUGCAAGUCGAGCGAACAGAUGAGGAGCUUGCUCCUCUGACGUUAGCGGCGGACGGGUGAGUAACACGUGGAUAACCUACCUAUAUGACUGGGAUAACUUCGGGAAACCGGAGCUAAUACCGGAUAAUAUAUUGAACCGCAUGGUUCAAUAGUGAAAGACGGUUUUGCUGUCACUUAUAGAUGGAUCCGCGCCGCAUUAGCUAGUUGGUAAGGUAACGGCUUACCAAGGCAACGAUGCGUAGCCGACCUGAGAGGGUGAUCGGCCACACUGGAACUGAGACACGGUCCAGACUCCUACGGGAGGCAGCAGUAGGGAAUCUUCCGCAAUGGGCGAAAGCCUGACGGAGCAACGCCGCGUGAGUGAUGAAGGUCUUCGGAUCGUAAAACUCUGUUAUUGGGGAAGAACAAAUGUGUAAGUAACUAUGCACGUCUUGACGGUACCUAAUCAGAAAGCCACGGCUAACUACGUG
rnacentral:rRNA from 1 species